CAUGCUCACAUGAGCAGGAGGGGUCGAAAUCUCAGGAAGAGGAUGACCAGGUUGGAAGAGACUUCAAGGGUGUCUUCUCCACUUGCUCCACUCCCAUUUGACAGGGCAGACGUGGACACCCAAGGUCUGCUGACCCCCGCCUGGGUGCUGCUCAGUGCUCAGACUCCAAGACCUCUGGGUUCAGCAUCUCACCGAGCAGAAGGUGUCCUUGGAAGACCUUUCCCCCAAGUGAUGCUUUGGCCAGAACACAGUGCAACUAGCGGAGAUAUUCUGAAAGGGAAUCAGGUCGCAAGACCUGAGAAACACACAGCAAUAAGGACUGGGUUGUCGAAUGUCAUUGUAAACAGGCGGCUGAAGAAAGAAAGCCAGGGCCGUGGAGGCUGCCCCAAGUGCACUGGCUGGAGACAGCACAGGCACACUCCCUGGCAAAGCUCAAGGGGGUCCCUAUCUGGUCCUUGUCAGCCACACCAAAGCUUUACAUCCUUCGGUCCGUCACCUUCCUCUCUAAGUUUUUCUCCUUGCAAUGUCCCACUUGUCUUGAAGAAGCCCUUGUUUAAUAGGUCAGAAGGUGGCCUACAUUGUCUCCUCCUUGACACUUUAUGUUGGUGACUUAAGGCCUCUGACAAGUCACACAGGGAAGAAGCUGGCUUACUCAUUUCACCUUGCGUUUCCUUGGAUCAGCAAGCUUGCCUUGUUCCUUUUGAGACACAGUCUUGCUCAGGUUGGACACAAACUCCUCAUUCUCCUGUCCUAGCCUCCCGAAGGCUGAGAUUACAGACACCCACCGCCACAUGGGACAGGCCACCUUGUUCUGUUGAGGGACAGAUUCUCUUGUUGCCAUGCAUGUUAUAUAAAUUGCCUGCCUUCCAAUAAAGCUUUAUUUAAAGUAA